CACGGGAUCCUCCCACCUGACGGCCUCCCGGCCUCCCCAGUAGCUGGGAGUACAGGCACGCACCACAUCCGCUACUUUUUAAUUUUUUAAUUUUUUUUUUUUUUUUUUUGAGAUGGAGACUGCUCUGUUGCCCAGGCUGGAGUGCAGUGGCGAGAUCUCGACUCACGGCAAGCUCCGCCUCCCGGGUUCACGCCAUUCUCCUGCCUCAGCUUCCCGAGUAGCUGGGACUAUAGGCGCCCUCCACCAUGCCCAGCUAAUUUUUUGUAUUUUCAGUAGAGAUGGGGUUUCACUGUGUUAGCCAGGAUGGUCUCGAUCUCCUGAUCUCGUGAACCGCCCGCCUCGGCCUCCUAAAGUGCUGGGAUUACAGGCGCAAGCCACCGCGCCCUGCCCUACUUUUUAAAUUUUUGGUAGAGUGGGGUGUCAUCAUGUUGGCCAUGCUGGUCUCGAAUUCCUGGCCUCAAGCGAUCCUCCUGCCUUGGCCUCCCAAAAGCUGGGAUUACAGGUGUGAACCACGGCGCCAGUAUGAGCCUCAAUGUUUGAACCAUCAAAUUUUACAUGUAUUGACACACGCCCCGUCUUGUUUUUCUAAAUCUCAUGUCAUCGUUUGUAUAUUGGUUACCCAUAGUUGACUUUGGAGCUGAGGGUGGACAGAGCUAACAUCAGGUUGCACACAGGAACCGAGUGAGGUCAAGAAAAAGUAGCGCGAGCUGCCUCGAUGGCCCGGGGCGACCUCACUGGCGUUUCCUGUCUGGGACUGCGCCCACGCGGUCACGUGGCCCGGAGGGCGCGCGGCGGCGGCGGCAGCGGCGCGCGCGCACAGAGAGGAGGCUCCUUGCCAGACAACCCGUUUUUUUCUUAUGAUAAAGACGGCAUUUGGCUCAUGAGCAAGGUGGCGAGGUCAUCAAGUGAGUCGGACGUGCAGCUCUGGGAAACAGAAGAGGAUGACAUGACAGAAGGGAGAAGAAAGAAGUGAAGCGAGUUUUCAGUAUUCCAAGCAUAAGAGCCUGCAAGAUACAUUCCCUCAAGUGUCCAGAAUGUCCAAUUACAGACGACAAAGUAGCACUGGUAAGAAUGCUGAAUUUCCUCUCCUUUCUUUCUCCUGUGAAUAGUAUCAAAGGUAUAACCCUUCCAAAAUCUAAAAUAAAUAACCAUAUUGGAUUUUAGAUUUUUUUCUUUUUUUUUUUCUAGACAGAGUCUUGCUCUGUCACCCAGGCUGGAGUGCAGUGGCACACGAUCUCGGCUCACUGCAACCUCUGCCCCCUGGGUUCAAACAAUUCUCCUGCCUCAGCCACUGGAGUAGCUGGGAUUACAGGCACGCACCACUACACCUGGCUAAUUUUUGUUUUUAGUAGAGGCAAGGUUUCACCAUCUUGGCCAGGCUGGUCUCAAACUCCUGACCUCAAGCGAUUUGCCCGCCUUGGCCUCCCAAAGUGCUGGGAUUACAGGCGCGAGCCACCGCACCCAGUCUUUAGAAAUUUAUCUUUAUUCAUCUCUUGGUAUUGGUGGUAGUACAAAAGUAGUUGAUGUUUAUAUUUCUAAAUAUUGUACAACUUUGAAGUACAGUAGUUUUAUACAUCUAAUAUAUUUGUUAAUGAUAUCUGUAAAUGAUUACCAACCUUGCUUUUUUUUGUGAUGUACUUUUUUUUGUAGUCAAUAAGUAUUUAUUGGGCAUCAUUAGGUGUCAGGCACAGGUCUAAUUUCUGAGAAUAAUAUCAGUAAACAAAAUAGACAAAGGCCCUAAUGUCAUGGAUUUCACAUUCUAAUAGAGGAGAUAGAAAAUAAACCUGUGGGCCAGGCGCAGUGGCUCACGCCUGUAAUCCCAGCACUUUGGGAGGCCGAGGCAGGUGGAUCAAGAGGUCAGGAGAUCAAGACCAUCCUAGCUAACACGGUGAAACCCCAUCUGCUAAAAAUAUAAAAAAUUAGCCGGGCAUGGUGGCGGGCACCUGUAGUCCCAGCUACUCGGGGGGCUGAGGCAGGAGAAUUGCUGGAACCCGGGAGGCGGAGCUUGCAGUGAGCUGAGAUUGUACCACUGCACUCCAGCCUGGGCGACAGAGCGAGACUCCGUCUCAAAAACAAACAAACAAACAAACAAAAAAAACUGAACAAAUAACAACAGAAAAACCAAAAUUAGCCAGAUGUGGUGGCACUGGCCUGUAGUCCCAGCUACUUGGGAGGCUGAAGUGGGAGGAUUGCUGGAGCCCAGGAGGUUGAGGCUGCAGUGAGCAGUGAUUGUGCCACUGCACUGCAGCUUGGGUGACAGAGCGAAACUCUGUCUCGAGAAAAUAAAUCAGCAAUUCAGUGGCAUUCACAAAGUUGCCUAACCACCACCUCUGUCUAGUUCCAGACAGUUCCAGUACUCCAAAGUAAAAUCUCAUACCCAUUAAGCAAUUUCUCACCAUUUUCUCCUUUUUAUUUAGUUUUCACUUGAAGCAAAAUGAUAGAGCACCUGAUAUUUGAAGAACCUAAGUAGAAAUGAUAUAUAUAUAUGUGUGUGUAUAAUUUGUAUGUUAUAUAUCUCUUAUAUAAUGGUCUACCUUAUGAUGAAAGUGAUACAAGGAUACUAAGAUAGUUGAUGUUACCUUUUUUUUUUUUUUUUUUUUUGAGAUGGAGUCUCACUCUGUCACCAGGCUGGAGUGCAGUGGCUCAAUCUUGGCUCACUGCAACCUCCGCCUCCUGGGUUCAAGCAAUUCUUCUGACUCAGCCUCCUGAAUAGCUGGGAUUACAGGUGCACGCCACCAUGCCCAGCUAAUUUUUGUAUUUUUAGUAGAGAUGGGGGUUUCACCAUUUUGGCCAGGACGGUCUCAAUCUCCUGACCUCGUGAUCUGCCUGCCUCGGCCUCCCAAAGUGCUGGGAUUACAGGCGUGAGCCACCGCACCUAGCCUUUUAUUUUUUGAGACGGAAUCUCACUCUGUUGCCCAGGCUGGAGUGCAGUGGUGCCAUCUCAGCUUACUGCAACCUCCACCUCCCAGUUCAAGCGAUCCUCCUGCCUCAGCCUCCCGAGUAGCUGGGACUACAGGUGCUCACCACCAUGCCUGGCUAAUUUUUGUAUAUUUAGUAGAGGCAGGGUUUCACCAUGUUGGCCAGGCUGGUCUCAAACUCCUGACCUCAAAUGAUCCACCCAUCUUGGCCUCCCAAAGUGCUGGGAUUACAGGCGUGAGUCACUGUGUCUGACAUGAUGUUAACUUUUUACAUAUUUUAUUUAUUUAUUUAUUUAUUUAUUUAUUUAUUUAUUUAUUUAUUUUCACACAGGGUCUUGCUCUGUUGCCCAGUUUGGAGCACAGUAACACAAUCUCAGUUCACUGCAACCUCCACUUUCUGGGCUCAAGAGAUCCUCCCACCUCAGCCUCCCAAGUUGCUGGUACUACAGGCGUGUUCCACCAUGUCCAGCUAAUUAAAAAGUAUAUUAUUAUUAUUAUUAUUAUUUUGAGACAGAAUCUCACUCUGUCACCCAGACUGGAGUGCAGUGGCACAAUCUCAGCUCACUAUGACUUCCGCCUCCCAGGUUCAAGUGAUUCUCCUGCCUCCACUUCCUGAGUAGCUGGGAUUGCAGACACCCACCACCAUGCCCAGAUUUUUUUAAUAUAUAUAUAUAUAUUUUUUUUUUUUUUUUAGAUGGAGUCUCGCUCUUGUCACCCAGGCUGGAGUGCAGUGGUGCAAUCUCACCUCACUGCAACCUCCUCCCGGGUUCAAGUGAUUCUUCCACCUUGGCCUCCCACGUAGCUGGGAUUAUAGGCACCUGCCAUCAUGCCCAGCUAAUAUUUUUGUCUUUUUGUAGAGACGGGGUUUCACCAUGUUGACCAGGCUGGUCUUGAACUCCUGACCUCAGGUGAUCCGCCUGCCUCGGCCUCCCAAAGUGCAACAUUAAAAAACAAAUUUUGUAGAGAUGGGGGUGCCUCACUUUGUGAGGGCUCAACUCCUGGGCUCAAGCAAUCCUCCCACCUUUGCCUCCAAAAGUGCUGGGAUCACAGAUGUGAGCCCCUGCACCCAGCCCUAAAAACUUAGAGAAGAGGCUAGUUCUUUCUUCUUAGCAGAAAUUAAAGAGGUGGCUUGAAGAGGACAAAACACAAGCCAGGCACUGUUGCUCAUGCCUGUAAUGCCAGUGCUAUGGGAGGCCAAGGGGAGAGGAUUGCUUGAGGCCAGGAGUCCUAGACCAACUUGGGCAACAUAACGAGACUUCUCCUCUACAAAAAAUAAACAAAAAUUAGCCAGGCAUGGUAGCAUGCACCUGGCUCUUUUUGGAGAGGGAGUCUUGCUCUGUCGCCCAGGCUGGAGUGCAGUGGUGCAAUCUCGCCUCACUGCAACUUCUACCUCCCAGGUUAAGCAAUUCUCCUGCCUCAGCCUCCGGAGUAGCUAGGAUUGCAGGCACGCAUCACCACGCCUGGCUAAUUUUAUUUUGUAAUUUUAGUAGAGACGGCGUUUCAACAUGUUGGCC
rnacentral:lncRNA from 10 species